AGUCCGAAAGCUCGAAUUGCAAAUUCGGAUUAGGUACAUAUUUACCUCGGACUU
rnacentral:tRNA from 1 species